AGAGUUUGAUCCUGGCUCAGGACGAACGCUGGCGGCGUGCCUAAUACAUGCAAGUAGAACGCUGAAGAGAGGAGCUUGCUCUUCUUGGAUGAGUUGCGAACGGGUGAGUAACGCGUAGGUAACCUGCCUUGUAGCGGGGGAUAACUAUUGGAAACGAUAGCUAAUACCGCAUAACAAUGGAUGACCCAUGUCAUUUAUUUGAAAGGGGCAAAUGCUCCACUACAAGAUGGACCUGCGUUGUAUUAGCUAGUAGGUGAGGUAACGGCUCACCUAGGCGACGAUACAUAGCCGACCUGAGAGGGUGAUCGGCCACACUGGGACUGAGACACGGCCCAGACUCCUACGGGAGGCAGCAGUAGGGAAUCUUCGGCAAUGGGGGCAACCCUGACCGAGCAACGCCGCGUGAGUGAAGAAGGUUUUCGGAUCGUAAAGCUCUGUUGGAAGUCAAGAACGAGUGUGAGAGUGGAAAGUUCACACUGUGACGGUAGCUUACCAGAAAGGGACGGCUAACUACGUGCCAGCAGCCGCGGUAAUACGGAAGGUCCGGGCGUUAUCCGGAUUUAUUGGGUUUAAAGGGAGCGUAGGCCGGAGAUUAAGCGUGUUGUGAAAUGUAGACGCUCAACGUCUGCACUGCAGCGCGGACUGGUUUCCUUGAGUACGCACAAAGUGGGCGGAAUUCGUGGUGUAGCGGUGAAAUGCUUAGAUAUCACGAAGAACUCCGAUUGCGAAGGCAGCUCACUGGAGCGCAACUGACGCUGAAGCUCGAAAGUGCGGGUAUCGAACAGGAUUAGAUACCCUGGUAGUCCACGCCGUAAACGAUGAGUGCUAGGUGUUGGAUCCUUUCCGGGAUUCAGUGCCGCAGCUAACGCAUUAAGCACUCCGCCUGGGGAGUACGACCGCAAGGUUGAAACUCAAAGGAAUUGACGGGGGCCCGCACAAGCGGUGGAGCAUGUGGUUUAAUUCGAAGCAACGCGAAGAACCUUACCAGGUCUUGACAUCCCGAUGCUAUUUCUAGAGAUAGAAAGUUACUUCGGUACAUCGGUGACAGGUGGUGCAUGGUUGUCGUCAGCUCGUGUCGUGAGAUGUUGGGUUAAGUCCCGCAACGAGCGCAACCCCUAUUGUUAGUUGCCAUCAUUCAGUUGGGCACUCUAGCGAGACUGCCGGUAAUAAACCGGAGGAAGGUGGGGAUGACGUCAAAUCAUCAUGCCCCUUAUGACCUGGGCUACACACGUGCUACAAUGGUUGGUACAACGAGUUGCGAGUCGGUGACGGCAAGCUAAUCUCUUAAAGCCAAUCUCAGUUCGGAUUGUAGGCUGCAACUCGCCUACAUGAAGUCGGAAUCGCUAGUAAUCGCGGAUCAGCACGCCGCGGUGAAUACGUUCCCGGGCCUUGUACACACCGCCCGUCACACCACGAGAGUUUGUAACACCCGAAGUCGGUGAGGUAACCUUUUGGAGCCAGCCGCCUAAGGUGGGAUAGAUGAUUGGGGUGAAGUCGUAACAAGGUAGCCGUAUCGGAAGGUGCGGCUG
rnacentral:rRNA from 1 species